rnacentral:rRNA from 1 species
UACGGGGGGGGCAAGCGUUGUUCGGAAUUACUGGGCGUAAAGCGCGCGUAGGCGGUUACUUAAGUCGGAUGUGAAAGCCCUUGGCUCAACUGAGGAAGUGCAUCCGAAACUGAGUAGCUUGAGUACGAAAGAGGGUCGCGGAAUUCCCGGUGUAGAGGUGAAAUUCGUAGAUAUCGGGAGGAACACCGGUGGCGAAGGCGGCGACCUGGGUCGAUACUGACGCUGAGGCGCGAAAGCGUGGGGAGCAAACAGG